AUCAAGGAAUCAUAUAGAGAAAACAAAGUUGAAAGUAAUGUAAGGUGGGACCAUACAGCUUUCGUAAGAUUGAUUCUUUAUUUGAUUCACUAUUUUUGAAAUAAGUUCAAUUCUUUAUCCAACUCUUUGUCGCAUAUUACUUUAUCAUUUUUUUGCUUUCAUCCUAGAUUAGUUUAAGAGUUUAAAUAUAUUUUUAAGAGUAAUUAAUUCAUAAUCAGUGCCAUAAUUUAGAUUUUGACUUUCUUUGUAUGACAUUUGUACAACUACACCUUUUUGUGUAUAUCAUAAAAGUGUCAAGUAUAUCAUAAGUGUCAAUUGAAUCGGAUGAAGUAGGAUAAUUACGGAAUGAUGAAUGUUGAUCAAGUCCUCGUACAUGUCUAAAAGAAAAUUUGUCUUCUUAGAUACGAAAUAAGUAAUGUCAUUUUACUGUGAAGUGAUGCAUUCAGUGCCCAAGAAUCAAUCAGGUCUUGACUUUCUUUCUGUGAAAUUUGUAAAACAAUGAAGGCACCUAAAAAAAACUAUUUUUGUCGGUUCCAUCAAGUAACGAAGCAUUUUGACAAUCAUUGGUUCUAAAUUUCUAAUAUAAAAAAAUUGGUAGCAACAAAUUAAUAGUCCCUUUAUCCCACAUUGAUAACAAAGUUAACUAAUUUUUCUUAAACUCUUGGCUUGCAAUCACUUGUUUAUGUCAAGUUUCAAAUAAUUAUAUAUAAAUGAAAGAUAAAUUGGUUAAAAGAAGAAAUAGAUAACAAAUGCACGGCUUUGUUUUGUAAUAAUUUCAUUCCGUCUAGGCAUAUUAAUUAAAAUAAAAAAUUAUAUUUUGUAUUUGUUUGUCUUUUGUUGAUACAUAUUUUUUCUUCAUUUUAAAAAAAGGAUAGAUUAGGUAGACUUUGAUUUAUAUCAUGUGCUAUUGUAUCUAUUAAUUUUUUUUCUUUUCUUGUGUGUAUUAAUGAAUUAUAAUAUUGUAUAUGUCUUUUCAUUGUAUAUUAAUACGUUUUAAAUAUCACUGAUUAUAACUAUCAAGUGGUUAUUGUUCCUUUUUUGGCCAUUUGUAAAGAAUUUAAAUUAUAAACACUUAGUUAUGAAUUAAAGGCUUUUAAAACUCAAGAUAUAAACAAUUGGUUUGUAAUACAAGAGCUUUGUCAUUGACAGUUUUUUUCCUACCAUUUGUAUACAAUCAAAUUUGUUUUUGUUUACCUCAAAUUGGAAUUUUGUGUUUCUUGUCUAAUAAUGAAAUUUUUUUCCAUUAUAUUGGUUAAAAUUAUUUAGAAAAAAUUGUGCCAUUUGUAUAGAAUCAAAACUCUUUUUGUUUUCAUGGAAUUGGAAUUUUGUCUUUACUAUCUGGUAAUAAAUUUAUUCUCUUUCAUUAUAUUAGUUUAAUUAUUUAGAAGAACCAUAAUAAAACUAAUGUUAAAUUGCCUAAAAAUGCCAAUACUUAGUUAAUAUAUAUUUUGUUUGAAAUUGAAGAGAGUUAUUAAGUAUACUAUAUUUUUUUGUCUUGACUGUUUUUUGUUAAUACACCUUAAUUUUAAAAAGAAUUGCUGUUAGUCAAAAAAAAGUUUUCAUUUUUAUUCAAGUACCAGUUUGUCGUUUAAUUAUUAGCUCUUAAUUCAUUCUUUGACGCGUAUCCCACUUGUAUGCUUUGGUCCACUCUCCAUGCAUAGUACUGAAACUGUACUAUCAAUAUAGACCUGGCUUCCACUUCAUUCUCAGCAGAGCCAGAAACAAAAAUCACAGCCAAUGGCCAAUGCUCCACUUUCACCAUGUUUUGUCUUGCAUGCAACAACCUCUACACAGAUUUAAUUAUCCUUUUUUCAUACUUCCACGUCAUUGUCCUAUAUAUGAGAUUACUUCAAGCUUUUUUGAAUAUAAAGCGCUUUGUUCUCAUCUACAACGGGUUAAUGCCUUUUUAAAGUUUUUCUCAGGUAUUGGUUCUCAUCUUCUUCUACUUGCAUUUUUUACAUUCAGAUUAUAGUUUUAGAUGGAAAAAAUAUAACUUUUGUAUUCUGCACGCCAUAUGUUUGAAUUGUUUCAAAAUAUGUAGUUGCAGAUGGGUCGUAUAUUGUUUUUUGGAGUUAUAAAGUGGAUGCAAUUUUCUUUUAGAGACAUUUUUGGUUGCUUCAAUCAUAUUUCUAUCUUAUUACUUGUGCACGAGGGCUACAUUGAUAUUGUGCUUGGCUGUUUAUCUGCAUCUGUUAAUUUCUUGGCUUUUUUUCAUAGGUUUGCGCUUUUCAUUCUCUUUUUUAGGAUUAUGUAUCAAUGACUUGUGUUCCAAUUGUUUUGACUAUAUUUCUUUUCUUCUUUUCUUUUCCUUGUUGUUUGGCUACUAUCUUCUUUUUGACAUGUUUUUCUAUUAUUUAAGUACUAAGUUUUGCUUUCUUAUGGUAGAUGUAGUUAUAUAAUCUGUUUUAUCCUCGGUUUAUGAGUUAUGGUUAUAUUUGUUGGUUGUCUUUUGUUGCGUUAUAAAUUUUUUCAGAUUUAAUAAGCUAUAUAUAUAUUUGUUAUGUUAUUUGCUUUUACACAUUAGAUAUGGAUUUAUCGGUCUAAACAAAUACUGUUGGUUUAAGUUAUACAGAUUUGCAAUUUUCUUGUACUGAAUUAAUCUAUGUGGUCUACCCAAUGGAUAAAAAUUUGACUUGAAGACAACAUCAUGCUGCAAUGCCUAAAAAAAAGAAGGAUGCAAUGAAUUGUAGUAGAAGAGAGGCAUAUAGUGCUGAAAAAAGGGGUUUAUCCUCUAUUGCUAACUCUGCUGCUCUAGGGAAUCCAGUUGAACAAUGUUCAGUUAAGAAUGUAGGCAGUGGCAAUGCUUCAAGUCAUAGUUAUGUACCAGAAAAUUCAUUUGGUUUGCUAUCUGCUUUGAACGUCUUCAGGAAACACAAUAGCACAGAUAACAACUCUUCAACCAAUGUGCUUGAUGUUGUUUCUGGUGCAUUUUCCUCUGCUCCUAAAAGGCAUAAACUUUCUCUUCAAGUGUAUUCUUCGACUUCUUUUUCUGUUGCUUCCCUUACCAGAGGUAUACUCUGUUUUAUAAAAAUAGGAAUGUUGCUUUCCAUUGUUCUUGCUUAGAACUUAAUCUAUGCGUUCCCUUGCAUAUCUACCCUGCUUCUUUGUUUUCUCAAUUAGUUUAUGCAUGGUUCUCUAGCAUUCCAUUUUUCUUUUCUUUUCUUUUUUAACUUUAGCUCCCUCUUUAAUUCUAUCAGCUUUAAAUGGAAGAUAUGUAGAGGAUGACUCCUUUUCUGUUAUUUUUGUUACAACUAAGUCAUUAAGUGUUCAAAAUGAUAUAUCUACUCCAAUAGAUACAGAUGCUCUAAAAAAGGUAGCUAAUGGAAUAUCAUUUAUCUUUUUUGGGAGGAAACUUGGAAUAGCAUACUUCAUUAACUUUCAUUAAUACGCAUUCCACAAUCAUUAUAGGUAGAAAAAAGAAAACCAAGGUAGGACUUUAUGCACGAUUAGAAUGUAUACCGAAAAUAUCUGUAGGCUUACCCAAUGCUUUGGAUUGUAAGCAUUGUGGUGCAAAGCGGUUUCACUUGGAGCCACCAAAUUUUUGUUGUGGCAGUGAUAUAGUUUCUAUUGUAAUUCCAGUGAUGCCCUAUAGUCUUGGUCGCUUAUUUUCGAGUAGAGAGCAAGAAUGCUUGGAAUUCAAAAAGUGUGCACGCACUUAUAAUAAUAGUCUACCUUUCAUCUCCUUUGAUGCAAAAUAUGACCAUGAUUCAACAAAGAACAGCAAAGGAGUUUAUACCUUCCUUGUACAAGGUCAAGUCUACCAUUUGCUUAGUAGCCUUGUUCUUUCUGCUGAGAAGCCUAUCGAUAUUCAGUUAUAUUUUUAUGAUGAUGAUGAGAAAUUGUCAAAUAGGUUUUACAAUUCCUCUAAUCUACAGGAAAGUACUCUUAAACUAUUGAUGCGGAUUUUUCAAAAUAACCCUUAUGCUAGAUUCUUUAAGAGCCUUCAGCAUGUUCCUCAUCUUGAUUGUUGUAAGAUUGUUCUUAACUGCAAUCCUGACUUGGAUUAGUGAGUAUAUAACCUGCCUACUUCAUCAUAACUUUUUGCAAUUUGGUCUGAAUCUGAUAAUGAUGAUGUUGAUAAGAAUACUCAUAUUCAAAUUUAUACACACUCAUAUACUUCACAUAGGAUCUUGCACUAUUUUGCAUGUUAUGAUUCAUUACAAUACCCUCUACUUUCCCCUAAUGGUGAAUCUGAGUGGCAUUACUGUAUCCGAAGAAACCUAGGAUCAGAAAGAAAAGGAAGACACCAGUUACGAUAAUUACUUUUUAGAUUUUGGUUCCAUAGAAACUCCUAGAGAACUAAUUAAUAGAGAAGAACAAGGCACGUUUAGUUAGUAUUUCUUUCCUUUAGUUGUAAGAUAUUUAAUGCAUACUUAAUUAUGUCUAAUAACAAAUUAGAACUGUUAGUAUUUUUUUGUCUAUAGUUGCUGAAGAGAGUAGAUAGCAACGAAAUAUGGUUUCAGCAAGAGAGUAGUAUAGUUUGUUUAGAUAGCAAAUUAUCCCAAAUAAUACAUCACUUGUAUUAUAAACAUAUUUUUCAACCAAUUUUUUUAUAUUCCUAUCUAUCUUUUUAUCUUACAUACAUCACAUCGCAAAAAGUGCUACCGUAAUUAUUCCAAAUAAUAUUUCAAAUAACAUUCUAUCCAAACAAACCCAUUGUUAUUUGCUCCAAAUGUGCGAAGGUACUAGAUCAAUGCUUUUACACACAGGCAAACUUCUUCAACAAUUUGUAGUUGAUAUAUAUGUUAACAUUGAAACCUAUAGACUGGACUUUCAUAGGAUAAAGCAGGCUAAUAUUAGAAUAGAAAUGCUACAAAGUGUAAUCGAUCGUAUAUCUGGUGGUAGUACAAAAGGAGGACAAGUUGGGCGUAAAAUUUAUCUUCCAACUUCUUUUAUUGGUCGACCUAGGGAUAUGCAGCGCCGAUAUGUCGAUGCAAUGGCUUUAGUGCAGAGGUAUGGCAAACCAGAUAUUUUUCUUACCAUGACUUGUAACACUACUUGACCAGAGAUUCAACAAAACCUAAAAUAUGGAGAGGAAGCUCAAGAUAGACUUGAUUUAGUGGCAAGAGUUUUUAGAGCCAAAUUUCACAUUUUUAAAUCAGAGAUUGUGAAGAAAAUUUUUUCUUGGUGAAGUAUCAACUCUUGUUUAUGUCAUUGAAUUUCAAAAGAGGGGUCUUCGUCAUACACAUAUUUUGGUUAUACUAAAGCCACAAUUUAAGCCAUUAAAUGCUGAGUCCUAUAAUAGAAUAGUUUCAACUGAAAUUCCAGAUCCACAUACUCAGCGACAUUUGUAUAAUCUUGCUAUUAAACACAUGAUGCAUGGCCCGUGUGGUAGAUUAAAUGAAAGUAAUAUUUGCAUGAGGAAUGGCUUGUGUAAAAACCAUUUUUCAAAAGAUUUUAGCAAACAUACUGUCAACACGAAAGAUGGCUAUCCUUGCUAAAGAAGAAGGCUGAAUGGAAUUUCUGUGAUGGUAUGCAACCACUCUCUUGACAAUUGAUGGGUUGUUUCUUACAAUCCAUAUCUUCUUCUAUGAAUUGACUAUCAUUUAAAUGUUGAAAUUUGUUCCACGAUUAAAUUAGUUAAGUAUUUGUACAAGUACAUUGAUAAGGGUUAUGAUCGUGUUAGCUUCCAUGUAGUAUUGGCCUAUCGAGAGAUAGUCUAGAAAUUGUUAAUGAGAUAAGGGAAUUUUAGUCUGGUCGAUGGAUUGCAGCAGUAGAGGCGUUUUGACGUAUUUACAAAUUUGCUUUGAAUGAAAUGACAUCUUCUGUUUAUACAUUACAACUACAUCUACUUGGAUAGUAGAUGAUUUUUUUUUCAUAAAAAUACAGAUUUGGCAGAACUACUGGACCAUGUCGAUUUCUCCAAAACCAUGUUAACAACCUUUUUUAAAAUGAAUAAGAGAAACAAAAAGGCCUAGCUUAAUUGUUUAUAUCGUGAAUAACCAUAACAUUUUGUAUGGAAGGUUAAGAAGAAAAAGUGGACUUCUAGAAAGCAAAAAAUGUUAUUGGUCGACUAGUUACGGUUAGUCCAACUGAGGGAGAAAGGUAUAAUUUGAGAUUAUUGUUGUCUCAUAUUUGUGCACCAACGUCAUUUGAGGAUCUUUUAAUUGUUAUUGGAAAGCAUUUACUAUCAUAUAGGGAAGCUGCUUUCCACAGGAGACUUCUACAAUCGGAUACGUAUUUAGAAGACACUCUUCAAGAGGCAGUGAGUUUCCAGAUGCCAUCUUCACUAAGAAGUUUUUUUUUAGUUUUGUUGGCAUUCUGUUCUCCCAAUAAUGCAAAGGCUUUAUGGGAAAAAUUUGAAGAUGAGCUUUCAAGUAAUAUUGUUAACCCUGAGAAUCUCAUCGGCUAUUCUUCCCACAUGUAAGAAUAUCUGUUUUGUCAGAUAUCAAUACAUAUUUAGAACAAAUGGGUAGAAACAUAAAUGAUUAUCAUUUAGUGCCUGAUGAUUUUUGCUUGAACAGUGAUGAGCAUGCUACAAAAGAGGUAGAGUGUGAAAAAAUGCCCAUUUUUCAGAAGAGGAUUUACUUUUUUCUAGAAAAUUGAAUAUAAGCUAGAAACAUGCAUAUGACAUCAUUUUAGUUCAAGUAUUUUCAAAUGCUUCUAAGAGUUUCUUUGUUGAUGGUCUAGGUGGAACUGGAAAAACUUUUCUUUAUCGUUCUAUCCUUGCAACACUUAGAUCACAAGGUCAUAUUGCACUUGCUGUUGCAUCGUCCAGUGUCGCUGCAUCUAUUCUUCAAACAGUCCAUUCUAGAUUUAAGAUUCCUCUUGAUCUAUCCAGCAAUAAAACAUGUCAUGAGUUCAGUGGUUAGGUUUAUUAUGUUAGCAAAGUUAAUCCUUUGGGGAUAAAGCAUCCAUGGCUAAAAGAGAAACCAUAGUGGCAUUUGACAUGUUACUUAGGGAUAUGAUGGAUUGUGAUGAAUCUUUUGGUGGAAAAGUGGUUGUGUUUAGACGUGAUUUUCGUCAAACCCUUCUUGUGAUACAGAGUGCUUCAAGAGUUCAGCAAGUUGAGUCUAGUUUUGUUAAUUCUUCUUUGUGGAAACUCUAUACAACGUCAGAUUAACUGAAAAUAUGAGAGUAAUUCAAGAUCCUUAUUUUUGUGAAUUUCUUUUAAGAGUAGGUGAAGGACGUGAACCGGAGGAUGAAGAUGGAAAAAUAACUCUUUCUCAAGAAAUAUCAAUUCCCUUUGAUAGCAGGGAAUCUUCUCUUAAUAAGUCGCUUAUUUGUCUACAUUAUAUAUUACCAAAACUAUCAAAAUAUGUACAUGUUUCACUACUUAUACAAUUUAUCUUUAUUAGGUUGAUAGAUUUUAUUUUCCCAGACCUUCAGAUGUAUUUAUUAGAUCCAUAUCAGAUGAUCGACAAAUGCAUCAUCACAGCAAAGAAUACAUCUGUCGAUGACAUUAAUGAGAUAAUGAUUCAACGGUUUCCUGGAGUAGUGCAUGUUUAUACUAGCACAGAUAAAACUCUUAAUGAAUUUGAUCAAGGUGAUUAUAAGACUUCUCAACUCAUUGAACCCUAGAGGAUUGCCUCCUCAUGAGCUGGUAUUAAAAGAAAACUGUCCUGUAAUUCUCCUUAGAAACUUGAAUCCCACCAAAGGCUUGUGCAAUGGAAUAAGACUUAUAGUUAGAAAAUUACAUGGAUAUGCAAUUUGUGCAGAAAUUGCAGUAGGAUAGCAUCAAGAAAAGAUAGUUUUGCUGCCUAAGAUACCUCUCUAGACAUUUGAUAAUUUUCUAUCUGAACAAGUAUCAAGGUUUAGAGAUUUUCUAUCCUGGUUACAUUAUACCAGAUCAUGUUGUAUCCAUGGCACUUUGCAUUUUCCAUUUGAUCACACAUCUGGUUUAUGCUGAUUCUAUUCCAACACAAUACACUCCAUUUGCUGUAUCUAUGUUCUUAACAGAACAAAAGUUCUGGUUAGAAAAAUGCUUCCAAAGCACUGCAUAUUUAAUGUUUAGUAAGUUGCUGCUGUUAUUUAGCGAUUCAAGCUUUGAUAAUGGAUGUUUAGCCAUAAAAAUGAUAUUAAGCAACUGGCUCCACUUAUCAAGAUUUGAUAAUGAAUGUACUUCGGCUACCUCCGUUUGAUGUUCAGCUUUGAUAAUAGAUGUUCCAACGGAAUGUACUUAUUAAGCUUUGAUGUUUAGCAAUAAAAUUGAUGCUAACUUUGGUUACUUCGAUUACAAAAAAAGACAUGGAUGAUAUAACUUUUUAAGCCAUCUUGAAUUAUCAUUAUAUCCUAUCUGGAACUGUUCCAUUACACAUUUAGCCCAAGUCUUGGCUAUAAUUUGCUUGCUAUUUGGCUACUGAGGAUAUUGGCCUGAAUAGUGAUAGGGUGCGAUUUUAUUAUUUAUUUUAUUAUUAAUUUCUCCUAUUACCUGACUCAAUGUGGAUUAAUUGCUGGAUUCUACUCACUUUUAGUACUUGGCAUUUAUUUCAGGGAGUAGAACGAAAAUAUAAUAACAAGUGCUAAUUUGGCAUGAAAAGAGUCCAAAUGAUAGAGCUUGUCCUAGGGGUAUUUUUGGAACAACAAAACGUGAGCCCUUGCUGGGCAAAUUGGGCCGAAGUCUUCUUUUCGGCAGUGAGCCGCCGCACAUCAAAAGGGAAGCAAGGGAUAAAAACCAAAGAGAUUGCAGAGGACAAGGGGGCUAUCUUGCUUCCUUAGUUUUUCGUCUUUAGCUUAGCCUUACUUUUUCACUUUUUUCUUCUUCACUGGUGGUAGUUAUUCUCCACGGAUGUGAGGAGAAACAAUAGAGAGUAGCUUUGACUUUUCCUUUCGUCUUUUGUGGUUGCCACUGCGCAUGCCAGGAGCUUUUCACCAAUUAGACGAAUUGAGUUCUUCCUAGUUUUGAAGUACAAUGGCCGCAGUUAUUCCUUCCAUUUUGCAUGGAUUUUGUUCAUCAAUUAUGAACUAAUUUCCUCACUCUAGUCAAGGGACAACGGAUGCUUUGGGUCGCCUAAAAUUGUGAGAACGAUUUAAUUUAAUUUUUUCCUUUU
rnacentral:lncRNA from 1 species